GCUUCGAUAGUUUAGGUAAAAUAUUAUAUUGUGGAUAUAAAGACACAUAUGUUCGAGGCA
rnacentral:tRNA from 1 species